GGCCCAGUGGCCUAAUGAACAGGGCAUCAGCCUCCGCAGCUGGGGAUUUUGGGUCCAAGUCCUACCUGGGUCU
rnacentral:tRNA from 1 species